rnacentral:rRNA from 1 species
AUAUACGACCGUACCGCAAACCGACACUGGUGCGCGAGAUGAGUAUUCUAAGGCGCUUGAGAGAACUCAGGAGAAGGAACUCGGCAAAUUGACACCGUAACUUCGGAAGAAGGUGUGCCCUAUUAGUGUGUAGUGAACAACGAAGCAUGAAUGGGUUGCAAAAAAUCGGUGGCUGCGACUGUUUAUUAAAAACACAGCACUCUGCAAACACGAAAGUGGACGUAUAGGGUGUGACGCCUGCCCGGUGCUGGAAGAUUAAAUGAUGGGGUGCAAGCUCUUGAUUGAAGUCCCAGUAAACGGCGGCCGUAACAAUAACGGUCCUAAGGUAGCGAAAUUCCUUGUCGGGUAAGUUCCGACCUGCACGAAUGGCGUAACGAUGGCCACACUGUCUCCUCCUGAGACUCAGCGAAGUUGAAAUGUUUGUGAUGAUGCAAUCUCCCCGCGGAAAGACGGAAAGACCCCAUGAACCUUUACUGUAGCUUUGUAUUGGACUUUGAACAGAUCUGUGUAGGAUAGGUGGGAGGCUUUGAAGCAGGGUCGCUAGAUCUUGUGGAGCCAACGUUGAAAUACCACCCUGGUGUGUUUGAGGUUCUAACCUAGGUCCAUUAUCUGGAUCGGGGACAGUGCAUGGUAGGCAGUUUGACUGGGGCGGUCUCCUCCCAAAGCGUAACGGAGGAGUUCGAAGGUACGCUAGUUACGGUCGGACAUCGUGACGAUAGUGCAAUGGCAUAAGCGUGCUUAACUGCGAGACUGACAAGUCGAGCAGAUGCGAAAGCAGGACAUAGUGAUCCGGUGGUUCUGUAUGGAAGGGCCAUCGCUCAACGGAUAAAAGGUACUCUGGGGAUAACAGGCUGAUACCGCCCAAGAGUUCAUAUCGACGGCGGUGUUUGGCACCUCGAUGUCGGCUCAUCUCAUCCUGGGGCUGUAGCCGGUCCCAAGGGUAUGGCUGUUCGCCAUUUAAAGAGGUACGUGAGCUGGGUUUAAAACGUCGUGAGACAGUUUGGUCCCUAUCUUCCGUGGGCGCUGCAGAUUUGAGGAAGCCUGCUCCUAGUACGAGAGGACCGGAGUGGACACACCUCUGGUGUAUCGGUUGUCACGCCAGUGGCAUUGCCGAGUAGCUAAGUGUGGAAGAGAUAACCGCUGAAAGCAUCUAAGCGGGAAACUCGUUUCAAGAUGAGAUCUGCCGGGGCCUUGAGCCCCCUAAAGAGUCGUUCAAGACCAGGACGUUGAUAGGUCAGGUGUGGAAGCGAAAAAAAAU